rnacentral:rRNA from 1 species
GCUUACGGCCACACCACCCUGAGAACGCCCGAUCUCGUCUGAUCUCGGAANCUAAGCAGGGUCGGGCCUGGUUAGUACUUGGAUGGGAGACCGCCUGGGAAUACCAGGUGCUGUAAGCU